UUCGUCACUCGGCUCUCUUUUUACCUUUCAUCCUGCAUUUCUCAAUAAUGAAGGGGCUGAAGAAAUUCUAAUAUAAAAAAUAAAUGUUACAAAAAUGUUUUUAUCUUUUUUUUAUUUUUGCAGUGGCGUGUGGGUUUGCGGACACUCGGCUGGUGCACAUUGGCAUCCCUUUUGUUAAUUACAAACCGUUGUAGAGAAUUUACUAUUUCAAGGAGUGAUUCUGAUCUGUGGUCUUUAUUUUAGACCCUCUGUUAGACACUUCGUACAAUGAUGUCUUACGCCUAGACAGGUAGGUACCUAAUUCUUACUUAUAAUUUCACCUAAUUUCGGUGUAUUACUUGCCGGUGAGCACAUCCUCCUAAUCACUCAUAAUACUUAUACUUUCAGAGAGAAAGCACAAAUAAUCAGCCCUGUGAACCGAGGAUUAUGCGAUAACCGAGUGAAAUCUUAAUCGUAACAGCCAACAGCGAGUUCGAUUCACCUGCCUUCAAACAGCAAUCAAUGGCAUAUUUUGAGCUCAUGGUCAAAAAAUCUGAAAAUUUAACUUUAUUGGAGAUCAAGAAUGUAGAUCACUUUGACAUAAUUGAACAGAUGAGCAAUCCUAAAUUCGAACUGGUUUUAAAAAUAAUAGAAAUGGUGAGCAAUAAAGUUAGUUGAAUGUUCGGAAGAACAGAAUCUUUCAUUUGUCGAUGCUAUUUGCGUUGUCAUUCCAAGCCAAUGAAACAUUGAACACAAAGCUUAUAAAAAUUAAACGCUGUAUUUCAGUUUCAUUUACAUGAGAAAAGAUAUAUGAAAAUAGCAAUCUACAAUGGUAAAAUUAGAAUAAACUUUUCUUCAUGACAUGUUUUAAACAAUUUGUAAGAAAUUAUGAGAUCAUUUUUAGAACAGUUUAUUUUUUCUUUUGAUGGUGGAUUUGAGAAGUUGUAACUUCUCCAAAUGUAUAUUAAUUUGACUUCUAAUGAAUCUAAACAAUCCUCAGCAGAGCUUAGCAGUCUAAACUAAGCUUUUAGACUUAGAAUCUGUUCGAGCCAAUCAAAGUGCAUUCCAACAUCAGUAAAUAGCAAUUGUUUUGAGGAGACACAGCUCUUAUAGUCGAACGGAAAUUCGAUAACUCCUCUGACCCUCCAUUUAGCACCAUGGGAAUUUUCUUGACGAAUCAGCAGUUCACCACCAUACACACCAGGGCACCAAUUAAGUUCUACAAAAGAAAUAAAACACACACUUUGUUUCAGUAAACGGCUAAAUAUUUCAUAAUACUGUAAAUUGAGAAAAAUCGGCAAGUCUCUAUUUAAAUACCGCAGACUCAAUGAUGAAAUGUUUAUUUUUCCCACAAAACAGUACUCAUCAUCAUCGUCCUCAGACAUAAGGGCGGAUUAACUAUAUUUUGAGGUGAACUCUGUUAACAGUGAAGUUCCAUACUUUUUUGAUCCAUGUCAAAGUAGAGAUACGCUCUGACAUAGAGAGGCAAAGAUGUGCAUAAUUGCAUGGUCAUAAACUUCGCAUUUGUGAUUCUAAGUCUUUUGAAUUCUCUCUGGCUGUAAAGUAGGGAAAAAAUUUGUAGGUACCUGUUUUUCACUUAGAGAUAAUAAAUUUCAUUUGGUGAAGCCUACAUCUUACCCCUCUAUUUUCCAUCUGGUCUUUGAUUUACUUAGGGUUAACUUUAAGGUCGUUUAUCUGCAAAGACCAUAGUUGGCUCUAGUUUUGCAGAGAUUAAUCAAGUGCAAAGGCACCUUUAUAAGAGCACUUUUAAGUGCUAGAAAAUCAUAAUACCUAAUCGAUUAUUUGUUCUGAAAUAAUGAAAAAAAGGUAGUUUCUUCCAGUAUGUCUUCCUGAUUUUGCUCUAGAAUUGUUCAAGUUUGAUUGUAUGUCUAGGCCAUCAGCUGAUUAUGAUACAAAAUUAACAGACAUUUCUAACAUGCAGUAUCAUUACAGCUUAAGAUUUACCUGCAAGGGCAACAGUACACAAUGUAUAAGACCAGCUUUCAUCAUCAAGUCUGCACACAUGGGGAUCUUUGAUAC
rnacentral:lncRNA from 1 species